CCAGACUCCUACGGGAGGCAGCAGUGAGGAAUAUUGGUCAAUGGGCGCGAGCCUGAACCAGCCAAGUCGCGUGAGGGAUGACGGCCCUACGGGUUGUAAACCUCUUUUGUCGGGGAGCAAAUUCCGCCACGUGUGGCGGAGUCGAGAGUACCCGAAGAAAAAGCAUCGGCUAACUCCGUGCCAGCAGCCGCGGUAAUACGGAGGAUGCGAGCGUUAUCCGGAUUUAUUGGGUUUAAAGGGUGCGCAGGCGGAGGUGCAAGUCAGCGGUCAAAUUGCGGGGCUCAACCCCGUACUGCCGUUGAAACUGGCAGUCUCGAGUUGGAGAGAAGUAUGCGGAAUGCGCGGUGUAGCGGUGAAAUGCAUAGAUAUCGCGCAGAACUCCGAUUGCGAAGGCAGCAUGCCGGCUCCCAACUGACGCUGAAGCACGAAGGCGUGGGUAUCGAACAGGAUUAGAUACCCCCGUAU
rnacentral:rRNA from 1 species